rnacentral:rRNA from 1 species
AGUGAACGCUGGCGGUAGGCCUAACACAUGCAAGUCGAACGGCAGCACAGUAAGAGCUUGCUCUUACGGGUGGCGAGUGGCGGACGGGUGAGGAAUACAUCGGAAUCUACUUUUUCGUGGGGGAUAACGUAGGGAAACUUACGCUAAUACCGCAUACGACCUACGGGUGAAAGCAGGGGAUCUUCGGACCUUGCGCGAUUGAAUGAGCCGAUGUCGGAUUAGCUAGUUGGCGGGGUAAAGGCCCACCAAGGCGACGAUCCGUAGCUGGUCUGAGAGGAUGAUCAGCCACACUGGAACUGAGACACGGUACAGACUCCUACGGGAGGCAGCAGUGGGGAAUAUUGGACAAGGGGCGCAAGCCUGAUCCAGCCAUACCGCGUGGGUGAAGAAGGCCUUCGGGUUGUAAAGCCCUUUUGUUGGGAAAGAAAAGCAGCAGGUUAAUACCCCGCUGUUCUGACGGUACCCAAAGAAUAAGCACCGGCUAACUUCGUG